UGUUUUUUUAACAUUCUUGUUAUAUUUAAUUUGAAAAGCAACAGGCUUGGCCACUAAUGUCAAAGAGUGUUGUUUGACCCUUGAAUUUUUGAAUUUGCAGUUAAAAAAAGAAGAAAAUCUAUCAAGCUUCUUGAGUUUUUUUAACAUUCUUGUUACAUUACUAAGAUUCAAGAUAAGGUUGCAACAUAAAUUGAAAAAACAACAAAAAUGAGAAACAAGGUCACAAACAUUGUAGAAUUUGCAAAUGGUGUGAGUGAAGAAAGCCUACAAAAGAUGCAGAAUCUUCAUGCAGAUUUCAACGGAACUAUCAUGCAGUUCCAGUGGGUGAUGAUGUAUCUGUUGGUUAUGAUGUGAAGAAAGGAGAUUACCAUACCUUAUGAGCCCAUAUGCAAUAGGGAGGGUCAAGUUUGAUGCACUCGAACCAGAAAGAUGGUUUCAUCACAUUGUUGCUUUCAUCCACAAAGCUUCUUUAAGUUUUACAGCUUUGCAGAAACACAAGAGGGACAAAGAAUUUGUUUGGCUCAAGAAUUUGCGUAUGUGCUGCAGAUGAAGAUCUUUGCUUCUAUUUAGUUAAGUUAUUUCAUUUUCAAGGUGAAUGAAAACAAAAGUGCAAAUGCUUAAUCUUCACAUUGAUGGUGAUACAGAGUUGAUCCAUGAUCUGGCAUACUCAUAUUUGGUGCAGUUAGACACACGGAAGUGGAUUGGAAAAUGGUUCAUGCUAAAAAAGGAUUAACUUUCAGUACGUUUGAAGUUAUAUGGGGGAUAAGUAAUGGACAUAAACGUCUCAACAAGCCACACGCAUGGACAAAUGCUAUAGGUGGGUUUUCCCAAAUCUCGGCACCCAAUUUCGUCAUCUAGAGCUCCAAUUUUGAAGCCAAGGUUGUUAAUUUCAAGGAACCCUUGGAGUGGUUACAAGUUGCGUCUGAUAGCACUUGGCAUUCAUGGGCUAAGUUACGCACCUUUGAUUGGAACUUAUAACCAAUAAAGAAUUAAUGGAACUUGCCUUUGAUGUCAAGUUACCAUCUGAUGAAGAUUAAAAGAACUUACUGAAGCAAGUUACCUCUAGUGAAGAUUGAUGAAGUCUCGCUAAUGAAGAAGAGAUGCCACGUAUUAGCCUAUCAUUUGACGAAGACAAUCUGUUGAGAGGAUGUUAUACGUAAUUGUCACUUUUCAAUUC